rnacentral:rRNA from 1 species
UUUUAUGGAGAGUUUGAUCCUGGCUCAGGAUGAACGCUGGCGGCGUGCCUAAUACAUGCAAGUCGAGCGAACAGACGAGGAGCUUGCUCCUCUGACGUUAGCGGCGGACGGGUGAGUAACACGUGGAUAACCUACCUAUAAGACUGGGAUAACUUCGGGAAACCGGAGCUAAUACCGGAUAAUAUAUUGAACCGCAUGGUUCAAUAGUGAAAGACGGUUUUGCUGUCACUUAUAGAUGGAUCCGCGCCGCAUUAGCUAGUUGGUAAGGUAACGGCUUACCAAGGCAACGAUGCGUAGCCGACCUGAGAGGGUGAUCGGCCACACUGGAACUGAGACAAGGUCCAGACUCCUACGGGAGGCAGCAGUAGGGACUCUUC